AUUGAACGCUGGCGGCAGGCCUAACACAUGCAAGUCGAACGGUAACAGGAAGAAGCUUGCUUCUUUGCUGACGAGUGGCGGACGGGUGAGUAAUGUCUGGGAAACUGCCUGAUGGAGGGGGAUAACUACUGGAAACGGUAGCUAAUACCGCAUAACGUCGCAAGACCAAAGAGGGGGACCUUCGGGCCUCUUGCCAUCGGAUGUGCCCAGAUGGGAUUAGCCAGUAGGUGGGGUAACGGCUCACCUAGGCGACGAUCCCUAGCUGGUCUGAGAGGAUGACCAGCCACACUGGAACUGAGACACGGUCCAGACUCCUACGGGAGGCAGCAGUGGGGAAUAUUGCACAAUGGGCGCAAGCCUGAUGCAGCCAUGCCGCGUGUAUGAAGAAGGCCUUCGGGUUGUAAAGUACUUUCAGCGGGGAGGAGGGGAGUAAAGUUAAUACCUUUGCUCAUUGACGUUACCCGCAGAAGAAGCACCGGCUAACUCCGUG
rnacentral:rRNA from 1 species